ACUCGAGUGGCGAACGGGUGAGUAACACGUGGGUGAUCUGCCUUGCACUUCGGGAUAAGCCUGGGAAACUGGGUCUAAUACCGGAUAGGACCAUGCUUUAGUGUGUGUGGUGGAAAGUUUUCGGUGCAAGAUGAGCCCGCGGCCUAUCAGCUUGUUGGUGGGGUAAUGGCCUACCAAGGCGUCGACGGGUAGCCGGCCUGAGAGGGUGUACGGCCACAUUGGGACUGAGAUACGGCCCAG
rnacentral:rRNA from 1 species